GUCGAACGCUGGCGGCGUGCCUAAUACAUGCAAGUAGAACGCAGUUGCGAACGGGUGAGUAACGCGUCGGUAACUGCCUGGUAGCGGGGGAUAACUAUUGGAAACGAUAGCUAAUACCGCAUACUACCAGAUGGACCUGCGUUGUAUUAGGUAGUUGGUGAGGUAACGGCGCAACAAGGCAACGAUACAUAGCCGACCUGGGGGGGGGGUCGGCCACAAGGGGACUUAGACACGGCCCAGAAUCCUACGGGAGGCAGCAGUAGGGAAUCUUCGGCAAUGGGGGGAAACCUGACCGAGCAACGCCGGGUGAGUGAAGAAGGUUUUCGGAUCGGAAAGCUCUGUUGUUAAGGAAGCGGUACUUAACCAGAAAGGGACGGCUAACUACGUGCCAGCAGCCGCGGUAAUUC
rnacentral:rRNA from 1 species